GCCAGCGGCGAUAGCAAGUUAAAUGCGCCAGUUCCUUGCGGAUCACUGAAGCUAAGCAAUGUUGCGCGUGGCUAGUACCUGGAUGGUGACCAUCUGGGAAAUUGCGUGCUGGGUU
rnacentral:rRNA from 1 species